GGGUUGUGAGGUUAAGCGACUAAGCGUACACGGUGGAUGCCCUGGCAGUCAGAGGCGAUGAAGGACGUGCUAAUCUGCGAUAAGCGUCGGUGAGGUGAUAUGAACCGUUAUAACCGGCGAUUUCCGAAUGGGGAAACCCAGUGUGUUUCGACACACUAUCAUUAACUGAAUCCAUAGGUUAAUGAGGCGAACCGGGGGAACUGAAACAUCUAAGUACCCCGAGGAAAAGAAAUCAACCGAGAUUCCCCCAGUAGCGGCGAGCGAACGGGGAGGAGCCCAGAGCCUGAAUCAGUGUGUGUGUUAGUGGAAGCGUCUGGAAAGGCGCGCGAUACAGGGUGACAGCCCCGUACACAAAAAUGCACAUAUUGUGAGCUCGAUGAGUAGGGCGGGACACGUGGUAUCCUGUCUGAAUAUGGGGGGACCAUCCUCCAAGGCUAAAUACUCCUGACUGACCGAUAGUGAACCAGUACCGUGAGGGAAAGGCGAAAAGAACCCCGGCGAGGGGAGUGAAAAAGAACCUGAAACCGUGUACGUACAAGCAGUGGGAGCCUCUUUAUGGGGUGACUGCGUACCUUUUGUAUAAUGGGUCAGCGACUUAUAUUCUGUAGCAAGGUUAACCGAAUAGGGGAGCCGAAGGGAAACCGAGUCUUAACUGGGCGUUAAGUUGCAGGGUAUAGACCCGAAACCCGGUGAUCUAGCCAUGGGCAGGUUGAAGGUUGGGUAACACUAACUGGAGGACCGAACCGACUAAUGUUGAAAAAUUAGCGGAUGACUUGUGGCUGGGGGUGAAAGGCCAAUCAAACCGGGAGAUAGCUGGUUCUCCCCGAAAGCUAUUUAGGUAGCGCCUCGUGAAUUCAUCUCCGGGGGUAGAGCACUGUUUCGGCAAGGGGGUCAUCCCGACUUACCAACCCGAUGCAAACUGCGAAUACCGGAGAAUGUUAUCACGGGAGACACACGGCGGGUGCUAACGUCCGUCGUGAAGAGGGAAACAACCCAGACCGCCAGCUAAGGUCCCAAAGUCAUGGUUAAGUGGGAAACGAUGUGGGAAGGCCCAGACAGCCAGGAUGUUGGCUUAGAAGCAGCCAUCAUUUAAAGAAAGCGUAAUAGCUCACUGGUCGAGUCGGCCUGCGCGGAAGAUGUAACGGGGCUAAACCAUGCACCGAAGCUGCGGCAGCGACACUAUGUGUUGUUGGGUAGGGGAGCGUUCUGUAAGCCUGUGAAGGUGGCCUGUGAGGGUUGCUGGAGGUAUCAGAAGUGCGAAUGCUGACAUAAGUAACGAUAAAGCGGGUGAAAAGCCCGCUCGCCGGAAGACCAAGGGUUCCUGUCCAACGUUAAUCGGGGCAGGGUGAGUCGACCCCUAAGGCGAGGCCGAAAGGCGUAGUCGAUGGGAAACAGGUUAAUAUUCCUGUACUUGGUGUUACUGCGAAGGGGGGACGGAGAAGGCUAUGUUGGCCGGGCGACGGUUGUCCCGGUUUAAGCGUGUAGGCUGGUUUUCCAGGCAAAUCCGGAAAACCAAGGCUGAGGCGUG
rnacentral:rRNA from 1 species